rnacentral:misc_RNA from 1 species
GAAAUGCGAUAAGUAAUGUGAAUUGCAGAAUUCAGUGAAUCAUCGAAUCUUUGAACGCACAUUGCGCCCGCCAGCACUCUGGCGGGCAUGCCUGUUCGAGCGUCAUUUCGACCAUCAAGCGCCCCUCUCCGGGUGCUUGUGUUGGGGACCUGCGGCUGCCCGCAGGCCCCGAAAACCAGUGGCGGGCUCGCUGUCACCCCGAGCGUAGUAGUUCUCGCCUCGCUCAGGGACGUGCUGCGGGUGUUCCGGCCGUUAAAGCCCCCAAAGGUUGACCUCGGAUCAGGUAGGAAUACCCGCUGAACUUAA